rnacentral:rRNA from 1 species
GACGAACGCUGGCGGCGUGCUUAACACAUGCCAGUCGAACGGAAAGGCCCUGCUUUUGUGGGGUGCUCGAGUGGCGAACGGGUGAGUAACACGUGAGUAACCUGCCCUUGACUUUGGGAUAACUUCAGGAAACUGGGGCUAAUACCGGAUAGGAGCUCCUGCUGCAUGGUGGGGGUUGGAAAGUUUCGGCGGUUGGGGAUGGACUCGCGGCUUAUCAGCUUGUUGGUGGGGUAGUGGCUUACCAAGGCUUUGACGGGUAGCCGGCCUGAGAGGGUGACCGGCCACAUUGGGACUGAGAUACGGCCCAGACUCCUACGGGAGGCAGCAGUGGGGAAUAUUGCACAAUGGGCGGAAGCCUGAUGCAGCAACGCCGCGUGGGUGAUGAAGGCCUUAGGGUUGUAAAGCUCUUUUACCCGGGAUGAUAAUGACAGUACCGGGAGAAUAAGCUCCGGCUAACUCCGUG